UACAGAGGGGGCAAGCGUUAUUCGGAAUUAUUGGGCGUAAAGGGCGCGUAGGCGGCUUUGCAAGUGACGGGUGAAAUCCCUCGGCUUAACCGAGGAACUGCCUGUCAAACUGCAUGGCUUGAGACCGGGAGAGGUGAGUGGAAUUCCCAGUGUAGCGGUGAAAUGCGUAGAUAUUGGGAGGAACACCAGUGGCGAAGGCGGCUCACUGGACCGGGAACUGACGCUGAGGCGCGAAAGCGUGGGGAGCAAACGGG
rnacentral:rRNA from 1 species